rnacentral:misc_RNA from 1 species
CCAAUAGCGUAUAUUAAAGUUGUUGCAGUUAAAAAGCUCGUAGUUGAAUUUCGGGAUUAGUACGCUGGUCGUGCCUUCGGUAUGUACUGGUGUUACUGGUUCCUACCUUCUGACGAACCGUCAUGUCAUUAAUUUGGUGUGGCGGGAAAUCAGGACUGUUACUUUGAAAAAAUUAGAGUGUUAAAAGCAGGCUCGCGCUUGAAUACAUUAGCAUGGAAUAAUGAAAUAGGACGUUCGAUCCUAUUUUGUUGGUUUCUAGGAUUGACGUAAUGAUUAAUAGGGAUAGUUGGGGGAAUUAGUAUUCAAUUGUCAGAGGUGUAAUUCUUGGAUUUAUUGAAGACUAACUACUGCGAAAGCAUUUGCCAAGGAUGUUUUCAUUAAUCAAGAACGAAAGUUAGGGGAUCGAAGACGAUCAGAUACCGUCGUAGUCUUAACCAUAAACUAUGCCGACUAGGGAUCGGAUGAUGUUAUUUUUAAUGACUCAUUCGGCGCCUUACG